rnacentral:rRNA from 1 species
GAUGAACGCUGGCGGCGUGCCUAACACAUGCAAGUCGAGCGAACAGACGAGGAGUUUGCUCCUCUGACGUUAGCGGCGGACGGGUGAGUAACACGUGUAUAACCUACCUAUCAGACUGGGAUAAUUUCGGGAAACCGGAGCUAAUACCGGAUAAUAUAUUGAACCGCAUGGUUCAAUAGUGAAAGACGGUUUUGCUGUCACUUAUAGAUGGAUCCGCGCCGCAUUAGCUAGUUGGUAAGGUAACGGCUUACCAAGGCAACGAUGCGUAGCCGACCUGAGAGAGGGGGAGGCGACAUGGGAGGGGAGACGGGGCCCAGAGUCCUGCGAGAGGCAGCAGAAGGGAAUCUGCCGCAAUGGGGGAGAGGGUGACGGAGCAGGGGGGAGUGAGUGAUGAAAGUGUUGGGAUCGGAAAGCUCUGUUAUUAGGGGGGAACAAAUGUGUAAGUAACUGUGCCGGGAUUGACGGUAACGAGUAAAAAAGCAACGGCUAACUACGUG